rnacentral:tRNA from 1 species
GCUAGCUCAUUGGUAGAGCAUGAGACUCUUAAUCUCAGGGUCAUGGGUUCAUGCCCCAUGCA